AGUGAACGCUGGCGGCGUGCUUAACACAUGCAAGUCGAACGAGAACGGGUUAUAGCUUGCUAUAAUUGUCAGCUAAGUGGCGCACGGGUGAGUAAUGUAUAGGUAAUAUGCCUCUUACUAAGGGAUAACAAAUGGAAACGUUUGCUAAUACCUUAUACUCCUUAUUAACAGAAGUUAAUAAGGGAAAGAAUUAUUGGUAAGAGAUUAGCCUGUAUUGUAUCAGUUAGUUGGUGGGGUAAUGGCUUACCAAGACUAUAACACAUAGCUGGUUUGAGAGGAUGAGCAGUCACACUGGAACUGAGACACCGUCCAGACUCCUACGGGAGGCAGCAGUGGGGAAUAUUGCACAAUGGACGAAAGUCUGAUGCAGCAACGCCGCGUGGAGGAUGACACAUUUCGGUGCGUAAACUCCUUUUAUAUGAGAAGAUAAUGACGGUAUUAUAUGAAUAAGCACCGGCUAACUCCGUGCCAGCCGCCGCAGUAA
rnacentral:rRNA from 1 species